rnacentral:piRNA from 1 species
UACUGUGGUCCUGAAGCAUGCUGUUCCUGU